rnacentral:rRNA from 1 species
CCUACGGGGGGCUGCAGUGGGGAAUAUUGGACAAUGGGGGGAACCCUGAUCCAGCCAUGCCGCGUGUGUGAAGAAGGCCCUCGGGUUGUAAAGCACUUUCAGUGAGGAAGAACGCCUGGUGGUUAAUACCCAUCAGGAAAGACAUCACUCACAGAAGAAGCACCGGCUAACUCCGUGCCAGCAGCCGCGGUAAUACGGAGGGUGCGAGCGUUAAUCGGAAUUACUGGGCGUAAAGCGCGCGUAGGUGGCUUGAUAAGCCGGUUGUGAAAGCCCCGGGCUCAACCUGGGAACGGCAUCCGGAACUGUCAAGCUAGAGUGCAGGAGAGGAAGGUAGAAUUCCCGGUGUAGCGGUGAAAUGCGUAGAGAUCGGGAGGAAUACCAGUGGCGAAGGCGGCCUUCUGGACUGACACUGACACUGAGGUGCGAAAGCGUGGGUAGCAAACAGGAUUAGAUACCCUGUAGUC